rnacentral:rRNA from 1 species
CCUACGGGUGACAGCAGUGGGGAAUAUUGGGCAAUGGAGGAAACUCUGACCCAGCAACGCCGCGUGAAUGAUGAAGGUCUUCGGAUUGUAAAGUUCUUUUCUAAGGGAAGAAGAUAGUGACGGUUCCUUAGGAAUCAGCCUCUGCUAACUACGUGCCAGCAGCCGCGGUACUACGUAGGCGGCGAUCGUUAUCCGGAAGUACUGGGCGUAAAGGGUGCGUAGGUGGUUUGGCAAGGUAGUAGCGAAACUCCAAGGCUCAACCUUGGAACUACUACUAAAACUGUUGGGCUUGAGUGCAGGAGGGGCAACCGGAAUUCCUAGUGUAGCGGUGGAAUGCGUAGAUAUUAGGAGGAACACCAGUGGCGAAGGCGGGUUGCUAGACUGUAACUGACACUGAGGCACGAAAGCGUGGGGAGCAAACAGGAUUAGAUACCCUGGUAGUC